GAUGAACGCUGGCGGCGUGCUUAACACAUGCAAGUCGAACGGAAAGGCCCUGCUUUUGUGGGGUGCUCGAGUGGCGAACGGGUGAGUAACACGAGAGUAACCUGCCCUUGACUUUGGGAUAACUUCAGGAAACUGGGGCUAAUACCGGAUAGGAGCUCCUGCUGCAUGGUGGGGGUUGGAAAGUGUCGGCGGUUGGGGAUGGACUCGCGGCUUAUCAGCUUGUUGGUGGGGUAGUGGCUUACCAAGGGUUUGACGGGUAGCCGGCCUGAGAGGGUGACCGGCCACAUUGGGACUGCGGUACGGCCCAGACGGCUACGGGAGGCAGCAGUGGGGAAUAUUGCACAAUGGGCGGGAGCCUGAUACAGAAGCGCCGCGUGCGGAAUGACGGCCUUCGGGUUAUAAACCGCUUUCGCCUGAGACGAAGCGUGAGUGACGGUAAUGAGUAAAGAAGCACCGGCUAACUACGUG
rnacentral:rRNA from 1 species